GAUAAACGCUGGCGGCGUGCAUGAGACAUGCAAGUCGAACGAAGGAUCGGGCUUGCUCGAUCCUUAGUGGCGGACGGCUGAGUAACGCGUAGGUGACCUACCCCGAAGUGGGGAAUAACUGCCCGAAAGGGUGGCUAAUACCGCAUGUGGUCGCACGUUCAUUCGUGCGAGUAAAGCCGCAAGGCGCUUCGGGAGGGGCCUGCGUCCGAUUAGCUCGUUGGUGGGGUAAUGGCUUACCAAGGCGACGAUCGGUAGGUGGUCUGAGAGGACGAUCACCCAGACUGGGACUGAGACACGGCCCAGACUCCUACGGGAGGCAGCAGUCGGGAAUUUUGCUCAAUGGGGGAAACCCUGAAGCAGCAACGCCGCGUGAGGGAUGAAGGCCUUCGGGUUGUAAACCUCUUUUGUCAGGGACGAUGAUGACGGUACCUGGCGAAUAAGCCACGGCUAACUACGU
rnacentral:rRNA from 1 species